AUGAAACUGUUCAAGAUCUUCGUCGUCCUCGCCAUCUUGGUUGUUCUAUCCACCUCAAUACCAUUGUCGCGGGUUAGUGCACUAGGGAAGCAGGCAAAAAAAGCGCCAAAAGUUGGUAUACAAGGGAAACGGAUAGCCAGACUGCCUCCGGCGCCAAGACCAAACCCGCGUACGCGUGGAAGGUCAGGGCCACCACAUCCACCAGCAACACAGAAGGGCAGAAUUCAGCCGUUUAGCUCACCGCCGCCUCCUUCACCGCCAGCACAGAAGAGCACAAUGCAGCCAAUGCCACCUCCACCGCCGGUGCAGAAGAGUGGGGCAUGGCCGAUGCACUUCCCGCCCCCUCCACCACAAGUGCAGAAGAGCAAAAUGCAGCCAAUGCCACCUCCACCGCCGGUGCAGAAGAGUGGGGCACGGCCGAUGCAAUUCCCGCCCCCUCCACCACAAGUGCAGAAGAGGGUAGAGAGUCCGUUGCGCACCCCGCCGCCUCCACCACCAGUGAAGAAGAGCAUCGCUCGGCCAUUGAGCUCCCCGCCACCUCCACCAUGA
rnacentral:rRNA from 1 species